rnacentral:lncRNA from 1 species
UUCCCCCGGUAGGUCGGCAGCGGUGGCCGAGAGGAGACUUCCGGGCGGCGCCGCCACCUGCUUCACGCUGCCGCCGCCAGACGUUCAACUUUUCGAACCUGUCUCCUGUCCGUCUCUGACCAAGCACUCAGGUGAGCUCUCAACAAUGCACAAGCGACCCGCCCCGCAAACUGCUCGAUCGCUGGUCAAUUCGGAUUCGAAAUCGCCCGAAAAAACACCUUCCAAACAACUUGCGGGUGUUCCAGCUUCAGACCCUCCCUCCGUCUUCUCCCUCGACCCUGGUUCCAAGAACCUCCUUCCUGAAAGGUGCCGGGGUGUUAGUGGAAACUCCGAGCACCAACUCACGGUCCGCGUAUGCCGAGGAACUGGGAUGAACCCAGACUGGUCGAAAAUUCCCCUCUUUUUCAGCCAAGUCUCGUGGAGUGUCAACGUUGCCGAAUCUACUCGAUUCACGAAUCAAGGAGGCAAAAUAUUUGACCAUGCUGAACUUAUGGCUCGCUAAAGGCGUGUGUUCCUAUUUUUUACUGCCCAAAAAAAGCUGGUUGUGGGCAUAAAUAAAAGACGGCACUAUAGCUUGCCAAGAACAAUACUAAUCUGGGUAUGAGGGGAUACGCCUUCGGUGCGGCUUAGGAUGGUCGGAAGGCAUUUUUGAUAAAUGUCUUACAAAAUAUAAAAAUUUUUGCACCAAAACCUGUUUGGAUACGAAUGCUCUCCAAGUAACCAACUUCAGUUGGAUUAAAUUUAUAAUAUGUUAUGAGGUUCGAUACAAUGGAAAGGCAUGGUCAUUUGUAGCAAUUAGAAAAUUUGGUUCAAAGAUUUUUGAUGCUUACAAGUAAGCAUAAAAAAAAGGAUUAUUCACAAAUAUUUCAUUAUUGCACUGAUGUACGGACCAGGGUCUAGAUUAUCAGAUCUAUAGUCUAGUUGUUGCUGCAUUGCCAUUUUUAGGCGUCAUACAGACAAAAUUGAUUUACCCAGUUCGAACACUUUGUCCGCCUUCCCCUUCCGCCUUCUGGCGCUGUCUCUGUUUCUCUCGUCUCGCUCUCUCUCUCUCUCUCUCUAGCCAAGUACAUACGUAUAGAUACGUAGAUAUCCCUCUCUUCCCUGACUAGAGCGAAUUUCUGGGCUGCGGCGACACCUUUUGCAGGCGAAGAGCGGCGAGGUGAGAGCAGACGAAUGGAGCAUCUUCUCAGUAUGGGCUUCUCGGAGGAGCUCUCCACCCAGGCUCUCGCCGCCACCGGCAGCGCCUCCGCCGUUGAAGCCACCGAAUGGAUUCUCUCCCACCAAGAGGAGGCCGCUGCCCACUCCGCCUCCUCCAUUCCCCCCGCCCCCGCCGCCUCUCCCACGCCUCCGCCCCAUCAGCGAUCCCCUCCCGUUCAGCCCAGCCUCGACCGCUUCUUCCCCUCCGCCGCC